CAGCCGCCACGGUAACACGGAGGAUCCAAGCGUUAUCCGGAAUCAUUGGGUUUAAAGGGUCCGUAGGCGGUCUUGUAAGUCAGUGGUGAAAGCCCAUCGCUCAACGGUGGAACGGCCAUUGAUACUGCAGGACUUGAAUUAUUGGGAAGUAACUAGAAUAUGUAGUGUAGCGGUGAAAUGCUUAGAGAUUACAUGGAAUACCAAUUGCGAAGGCAGGUUACUACCAAUUGAUUGACGCUGAUGGACGAAAGCGUGGGUAGCGAACAGGAUUAGAUACCCCCGUAGUCCCUGUCUCUUAUAC
rnacentral:rRNA from 1 species